AUGCACGCUGGCGGCGUGCCUAAUACAUGCAAGUCGCGCGAACGGACGAGAAGCUUGCUUUUCUGAUGUUAGCGGCGGACGGGUGAGUAACACGUGGAUAACCUACCUAUAAGACUGGGAUAACUUCGGGAAACCGGAGCUAAUACCGGAUAAUAUUUUGAACCGCAUGGUUCAAAAGUGAAAGACGGUCUUGCUGUCACUUAUAGAUGGAUCCGCGCUGCAUUAGCUAGUUGGUAAGGUAACGGCUUACCAAGGCAACGAUGCAUAGCCGACCUGAGAGGGUGAUCGGCCACACUGGAACUGAGACACGGUCAAGACUCCUACGGGAGGCAGCAGGAGGGAAUCUUCCGCAAUGGGCGAAAGCCUGACGGAGCAACGCCGCGUGAGUGAUGAAGGUCUUCGGAUCGUAAAACUCUGUUAUUAGGGAAGAACAUAUGUGUAAGUAACUGUGCACAUCUUGACGGUACCUAAUCAGAAAGCCACGGCUAACUACGUG
rnacentral:rRNA from 1 species